rnacentral:lncRNA from 1 species
AAACAAUUCACAUAAGGGUUGGGUGAACUUGUCACCAAUUAGUCCAAGUUAACUCUGUGCCAGGCCUGUAGAAUGGGGUCCUGGUCUUUCCUGUCAGAACAUACAUUACUUACCAUUUUCCCAGGGCCUCCUCUGGGCUCCUGGUCUUCAAGUCCCAUAACCGUGCAAGACCAUAGGAUGGGAUCCUGGUCUUUCCUUACUCUGUGCCAGGCCUGUAGAAUGGGGCCUGGUCUUUCUUACUCUGUGCCAGGCCUGUAGCAUGGGGCCUGGUCUUCCUGUCAUGGACUAACUGGGUCAUCCGACAUUCACCCGCAACAACAAUAAAUUAUGCAAUGCGGCAUAUUCGUGAAAAC